ACGAACGCUGGCGGCGUGCUUCACCCAUGCCAGUCGCACGGGCCCGCUCUCUUUUUUGGGGGUGGGUUGAGUGGCGAACGGGUGAGUAUCACGUGAGUAACCUGCCCCCUGCUCCUGGAUAACUGCUUGAAAGGGCGGCUAAUACGGGGUGUGCCGGCUGGUCCGCAUGGGCCUGGUCGGGAUAGUUUCAUCUUCGGGUGUUUCGGUGGGGGAUGGGCUCGCGGCCUAUCAGCUUGUUGGUGGGGUGAUGGCCCACCAAGGCGGUGACGGGUAGCCGGCCUGAGAGGGUGGGCGGCCACACUGGGACUGAGACACGGCCCAGACUCCUGCGGGAGGCAGCAGUGGGGGGUAUUGCACAAUGGGCGGAAGCCUGAUGCAGCGACGUCGCGUGAGGGAUGGAGGCCUUCGGGUUGUGAACCUCUUUCUCCGGUGGUGAAGGCCCUGUCCGUUGCGGCGGGGUUGGCGGUAGCCGGGUAUGAAGCGCCGGCUAACUACGUG
rnacentral:rRNA from 1 species